AUCUUGCUUUUAACCAUUAACCAUUAACCAUUUGUCUUUCUCUCAAGAGAUUUACUAAUAUAUUAGUAUAAGAAACACAGCAUAAGAGGAAUGUAUCGACUGACUAAUGUCCUCCUUAUUGAUAUCACUCUAAAAAAAUACAACGUUUCGACCAUAUUGAUCUCCUAAUAAAACAGGUACCCACUGGGGUGACGUUUGCUGGUAUAGGACUGAAGAAGUGUGUAACCUCUGUGUUAGCCCCUCACACAGGACGGGUCAUAACCUCAGAAUGUUCUCCACACCACAGAAAUGCUAUCCUAUCUGCAGCUUCAGAUAAUGAAAUUAGGCUUUACAGUCUCCUCCAGCCCAACAGACCAGUAAGUGUGAUAUACAGUGAACAGAACAUAAGUUGUGCACACUGGUCACUGUCCAGGCCAUUGGUUGUUGCGGUGGGACUUAUGACAGGCCAGGUUGUACUGUAUGACUUUGGUCAGAAAAACUGCGAACCAUUCCUCACUUUACCAGCUGCAGAGAAACCUUCUCCUAUUACUACUACAGCUUUUAAUAAGAAGAACAUGGCUCUAAUUGCCGUUGGUGAUCAGCUGGGGAGGGUCUCCUUAUGGCAGCUACCGAACAGUGCUGUUUCUCCGACAUCAACUGAACUGUCCACUCUUUUUACACUUUUGGGCAAUCUGACUGAGUAGUCUGUAAU